rnacentral:rRNA from 1 species
GUGCCAGCAGCCGCGGUAAUACGGAGGGUGCGAGCGUCGUCCGGAAUCACUGGGCGUAAAGGGCGCGUAGGCGGCCUGAUAAGUAGGGGGUGAAAUCUUGCGGCUUAACCGCAAGGCUGCCUUCUAAACUGUCAGGCUAGAGCACGGUAGAGGCAGGUGGAAUUCCCGGUGUAGCGGUGGAAUGCGUAGAGAUCGGGAAGAACAUCAGUGGCGAAGGCGGCCUGCUGGGCUGUUGCUGACGCUGAGGCGCGACAGCGUGGGGAGCAAACAGGAUUAGAUACCCUGGUAGUCC